GGGGGCUGUACAUGCAGCUCUCUGCAAAUUUUACGAGAUCCUUCGGUCGAGGAAGACGAGAAGCCAGACCUGUAAAUGUUAUAUGAUGCAACUCAACUUUAGCAGCAAUGUUAGCAGAUAUCUUUCUGAUGUUGGUAAAAGGAGGGUAAAUCAAUCCCUUAUCAUAGUUUUCCUGACUCACUUGGGCAGCCAGAGCCGCAGCUGGAAAGAGGAAAAAAACCUGUUAAAUCGAGCUCCGACCCGGCAAAACUAAUACUCGACAUGCGUUGGACGGGGGCUGCCAAGAGCAUGUCAUUGUGCACACGAAUCGUGCCUGACAUGAUCAGACCCAAGCCAAAUCCAGGGAAUAUGAUCAAAUGGACUUCCACUAGCAAAGAUCGCCCGGCCCUGCAGGACUUGGACUGUACCUGGCUCCAUGUAUAAGCUUCUUCAGCUGUACACUCCGAUUGUGAUGUAGGAUUUGAGAGAGCAAGGAUCAGCGGUUUCUGCAUAGUAAUCGAAAAUCGAGUUAAUCUUUAAUAACUUCUUGUCUAAGAAUUGAGGAAUGGAGAAGUUAGAGGGAACAAGGAAGAACCUCAUUGAAGGAUGCCAUGGCCUCCACAACUUCCUUUGUAAAUGUCUUCCCAACACCAGAUGUUCCUAUCAACACAGUUGGCCUGAUUGCCUAUAUAAUUUGAAGUUUUAA